GAUGAACGCUGGCGGCGUGCCUAAUACAUGCAAGUCGAGCGAACAGACGAGGAGCUUGCUCCUCUGACGUUAGCGGCGGACGGGUGAGUAACACGUGGAUAACCUACCUAUAAGACUGGGAUAACUUCGGGAAACCGGAGCUAAUACCGGAUAAUAUAUUGAACCGCAUGGUUCAAUAGUGAAAGACGGUUUUGCUGUCACUUAUCGAUGGAUCCGCGCCGCAUUAGCUAGUUGGUAAGGUAACGGCUUACCAAGGCAACGAUGCGUAGCCGACCUGAGAGGGUGAUCGGCCACACUGGAACUGAGACACGGUCCAGACUCCUACGGGAGGCAGCAGUAGGGAAUCUUCCGCAAUGGGCGAAAGCAUGACGGAGCAACGCCGCGUGAGUGAGGAAGGUCUUCGGAUCGUAAAACUCUGUUAUUAGGGAAGAACAAAUGUGUAAGUAACUAUGCACGUCUUGACGGUACCUAAUCAGAAAGCCACGGCUAACUACGUG
rnacentral:rRNA from 1 species